UACGUAGGGAGCGAGCGUUGUCCGGAUUUAUUGGGCGUAAAGAGCUCGUAGGCGGUUUGGUAAGUCGGGUGUGAAACCUCCAGGCUCAACCUGGAGCCGCCACUCGAUACUGCUAUGACUUGAGUCUGGUAGGGGACCACGGAAUUCCUGGUGUAGCGGUGAAAUGCGCAGAUAUCAGGAGGAACACCGGUGGCGAAGGCGGUGGUCUGGGCCAGUACUGACGCUGAGGAGCGAAAGCGUGGGGAGCGAACAGG
rnacentral:rRNA from 2 species